UUUGAUGGAGGAGGUGGAGGCCUACGGGCCAUGGAUGGUAGUAGAGAGGAAGAACUGACGUAAUCUUAAGAAAAAACCUGAUAUUCUACCGAAGAAGGUUGAUUUAGGAACGGUUGGGACAAGAUUUGAUGCCUUGAUUCCUGGUGACAAGAACACCACUAAUUUAAGGUAUGAAGAAGGAAAUACGAUUAGGUAAAAAACAAAGUGUUAAGGUUAA
rnacentral:lncRNA from 1 species